rnacentral:misc_RNA from 1 species
AACACUGUUAACCUGCGGUACCUGCGGAGGGAUCAUUACUGUGAUUUACUACUACACUGCGUGAGCGGAACGAAAACAACAACACCUAAAAUGUGGAAUAUAGCAUAUAGUCGACAAGAGAAAUCUACGAAGAAACAAACAAAACUUUUAACAACGGAUCU